GACAGAGGGUGCAAACGUUUGUUCGGAAUUACUGGGCGUAAAGCGCGUGUAGGCGGCUAAGUAAGUCGGGCGUGAAAUCCCACGGCUCACCGUGGAAGUGCACUCGAAACUGCAUAGCUAGAGUCCUGGAGAGGAAGGUGGAAUGCUUGGUGUAGAGGUGAAAUUCGUAGAUAUCAAGCGGAACACCGGUGGCGAAGGCGGCCUUCUGGACAGUGACUGACGCUGAGACGCGAAAGCGUGGGGAGCAAACAGG
rnacentral:rRNA from 1 species